CCUACGGGUGGCAGCAGUGAGGAAUAGUGGUCAAUGGGCGCUAGCCUGAACCAGCCGAGUAGCGUGAAGGAUGAAUGCCCUAUGGGUUGGAAACUGCUAUGAUAGGGGAAUAAAGUGCAGUAAGUAUACUGCUUUGCAUGUACCUUAUGAAUAAGGAUCGGCUAACUCCGUGCCAGCAGCCGCGGUAAUACGGAGGAUCCGAGCGUUAUCCGGAGUUAUUGGGUUGAAAGGGAGCGUAGGCGGGUUGUUAAGUCAGUUGUGAAAGUUUGCGGCUCAACCGUAAAAUUGCAGUUGAUACUGGCAUCCUUGCGUACAGUAGCGGUAGUCGGCAUUCGUGGUGUAGCGGUGCUAUGCUUCGAUAUCACG
rnacentral:rRNA from 1 species